rnacentral:lncRNA from 1 species
CACACAGAUUAAGCCAGGCCAUCAGUGAGCAGGCUACAGAUUCUAGAACCCAGGGACCCACCUCAGGAGACUGAUUUAGAAGGUCCAGGAUGCGGGCAGAGCUAUGUAUAUUUUGAUCCCCCAUGAUUCUGAUAAAUUUUGGAAAUCACUAAAUCUAAAUUUAUAGACACAAACCUAUACAUUUGAAUUCAAUUUAGUAUCCAAGUAACAAGCCCAAAAUGAUGAAAUCCACACUAAAGAGAAUUAAUGAUGACUAUUUCAGUGAACAUGUGCCGAGACACAUAGUAUACAGGUAUCCUUAACCCUACAUACAUACAUACAGGAUGUACUCACAAAUCCCACUUUCAAAUUGGUCAUUUGGAGCUGGACAUGGUGGCACAUCCCUAUCAGCAAUUUGGGAGGCUGAGGCAGGAGGAUCCCAAGUUCAAGACCAGACUGGGCAACUUAAUGAAACCCUGUCUCAAGAUCAAAAAUAAAAAGGGCUAGGGAUGUACCUCAGUAGUUGAACACCCCUGGGUUCAAUCUCUAGGAAGGAAGGAAAGGAGGUAGGAGAGAGAUAAAUGAAAUGAAGUGAAAUUUGGUUGUUUGAACCUAAAAGAAAUUUUGGUUGUUUGAAACCUUAGUUAUUUACCCUUGGAAUAUUGUUGUGAAUGUUGAGUAAGUUCUCCCAAAAACUUACAAAAAUGUAUUCAACCAGUAGCAAAUAAAAUAGCAUGUCCUUGCAAUGAGCAAUAUGAAACAAUGGUCUGGCAAUAUUAACCAUAAAACAAAAAAAGUGGGGGAUGCAUAAAAAAUAUUUGAUUUAUCUCAAGUGCUGAGGUUGAAUAAAUAGAAUGAGGAUAAAAGGAAAUGAGGGGGCAGAUGGAGUUAUUGAGAAGACCUUGUGCAUUCUUUCAAAAUUUCUAAAGGUUAUUUGUCCUUUUUCACCCUAGAUUCCAAGGCUGCCUUUUCUCUUAGGGUUCUCUUUGGCUCACCAUCAAAAUUAUCAGAGCAUCUUAGAUUUGCCCUGAUUCUCAGGCU